GAGGGUAUAGCUCAAGUGGUAGAGCUCAUGCCUAGCACACAUGAGGUCCUGGGUUCAAUCCUCAGUAUCUACA
rnacentral:tRNA from 1 species